AGGACGAACGCUGGCGGCGUGCUUAACACAUGCAAGUCGAACGGAGCGAAGAAGAGCUUGCUCCUUGGAGCUAGUGGCAAACGGGUGAGUAACGCGUAGGCAACCUGCCCUUCAGAUGGGGACAACACCUCGAAAGGGGUGCUAAUACCGAAUGACGUGCAUUGGUCGCAUGACCGAUGUACCAAAGGCCGGGCAACCGGUCACUGAAGGAUGGGCCUGCGUCUGAUUAGCUAGUUGGUGGGGUAACGGCUCACCAAGGCGACGAUCAGUAGCCGGUCUGAGAGGAUGAACGGCCACAUUGGGACUGAGACACGGCCCAAACUCCUACGGGAGGCAGCAGUGGGGAAUCUUCCGCAACGGGCGCAAGCCUGACGGAGCAACGCCGCGUGAGUGAAAGAAGGUUUUCGGAUCGUAAAGCUCUGUUGACAGGGACGAGAGGAUACAUCAGGAAAUGGGUGUAUUAGGACGGUACCUGUCGAGGAAGCCACGGCUAACUACGUGCCAGCCGCCGC
rnacentral:rRNA from 1 species